rnacentral:lncRNA from 1 species
GUAAGGUUACUCUCAGGGAGUGUUUAUCAGAAAAACAUGAACUUUCUUCUUUGCUAUUUGCAAUUACACAAUCUGCAAUGGGUUAUAAUUUACUAGAAAAUAGUCCCUUUUGCUGGGAAAUGCCCCAGCAGUUCACAGAUCCUGCCAGCCCAGGUGGUCCCACUCUCACUGCUCGAAGAUGGAUGCAUUGGACUCAAGAGGAACAAAGUGAGUGGCUAACUGGUGAGAACAAGUGUGAGCCUCAGAAGAUUAGGGAAGAGAAAUGCAGUUGAAGAAAACUUUUUGCAAUUUUUAUACUGAAAUGCCCCCACGAGAUACAGAACUUGUGAAAGGUGAGUAAGGCCAUUGCACACAUUCAGGAAAACCUGGCAUUUGAAGCAUACAUGGAGAGCACACAGUGCUAUGUCUCUCCUUUGGUGGCAUCCUUGCACCAUUCACUGCUGCUUGCUCUCUGGUUUGGGUCCUCUAGAAGCAACGAGUGGUCCCGAAGCUCAAGAGAAGGAAUGAUGACCAGAAGCACUGGCUCGAAUAACCCUCAGACUAGGAAUGCCCUGAUCCUAAGGGGUGUCUCUCCUUUUUUGCAAGCUUCAGAUAUUUGAAGGAUUCCUUAAUUCUGCAGUGGUGUUGAAGACUGAAAUCCUGCAUACCACUCAUGAUUUGUGUAAUCCUGAAGAUGUUGAUUAACUUCUCUGGGUAUUUAUUCAUUCAUUCAUUCAUUCAUUCAUUCAUUCAUUCAUUCAUUCAUUCUUACCAGCUACAACUUGUUAGUAAUUAACUGAGAUGUGGUUGCUUUCUAACCAAAUAGCCAUUUAGUACUUCCUUCUCUAUAAAUAGGAGCUACAUUUUGACUUCCAAU